ACGCUGGCGGCGUGCCUAAUACAUGCAAGCAGAACGCUGAAGAGAGGAGCUUGCUCUUCUUGGAUGAGUUGCGAACGGGUGAGUAACGCGUAGGUAACCUGCCUUGUAGCGGGGGAUAACUAUUGGAGACGAUAGCUAAUACCGCAUAACAAUGGGUGACACAUGUCAUUUAUUUGAAAGGGGCAAUUGCUCCACUACAAGAUGGACCUGCGUUGUAUUAGCUAGUAGGUGAGGUAACGGCUCACCUAGGCGACGAUACAUAGCCGACCUGAGAGGGUGAUCGGCCACACUGGGACUGAGACACGGCCCAGACUCCUACGGGAGGCAGCAGUAGGGAAUCUUCGGCAAUGGGGGCAACCCUGACCGAGCAACGCCGCGUGAGUGAAGAAGGUUUUCGGAUCGUAAAGCUCUGUUGUAAGUCAAGAACGAGUGUGAGAGUGGAAAGUUCACACUGCGACGGUAGCUUACCAGAAAGGGACGGCUAACUACGUGCCAGCAGCCGCGGUAAUACGUAGGUCCCGAGCGUUGUCCGGAUUUAUUGGGCGUAAAGCGAGCGCAGGCGGUUUGAUAAGUCUGAAGUUAAAGGCUGUGGCUCGACCAUAGUUCGCUUUGGAAACUGUCAAACUUGAGUGCAGAAGGGGAGAGUGGAAUUCCAUGUGUAGCGGUGAAAUGCGUAGAUAUAUGGAGGAACACCGGUGGCGAAAGCGGCUCUCUGGUCUGUAACUGACGCUGAGGCUCGAAAGCGUGGGGAGCGAACAGGAUUAGAUACCCUGGUAGUCCACGCCGUAAACGAUGAGUGCUAGGUGUUGGAUCCUUUCCGGGAUUCAGUGCCGCAGCUAACGCAUUAAGCACUCCGCC
rnacentral:rRNA from 1 species